rnacentral:lncRNA from 1 species
UACCCUUCCCAUUUCGCACCCGUUCUCCAAAUCUACCGAAGCAGAACCCUUCCGCCAGCGCAAAGUCCCAAGACAAAAUUGGUUUCCUCCAAAUCUACCACAGCAAAACCCUCCCGCCGACACCAAGUAGCUCACUCCCUUCAACGCUAGAACGAAAAGGAAGGCAUUUGUACCCUUCGUCGCUUGCUGCACCAAACCUGUACUCAUCUUUGUCACUGAAAGUAAGUUCGAAUAUGUGGAUUUUCGAAGGAUUGACUAUGGCGCUUAAGUUUUGGGGGUUAAAUUUUUGUUUUCUAAUUUUCUCGUCAAUAGCAAUCGUUAGGUCGAAGGGAGGUUUUUUUUCUUCCAUUUUUUCUCCUAAAUCGGGUGAACUUUGAAAUCAGCUUUGGUUUGUAAACUCGAAAUUGGGUGAACUCUGAAAUCAGCAAUCGAUGUAGUCAGUAGCAAUCAACUUCUGUUUGUGCACUUUGAAUGUUGAAAUUUUGAAUUUUCUCGUUAUGGUGUGUGAAUUUUAUAGAUGUCUGGAAUCAGCUUCUUUUUGUGAACUCAAUAAGAUUGCUUUAAUGGAUGUGAGCUCUUAUUCCUGAAUAACUUUUGAUGUGUUGUGGUUUAUUUUCAGCUUAUGAUGGCAUGGAAGAACCAGGGAGUAUGUCAUGGUUAUAGAGAAAAAAGGCAUUUUUUUGCUGACUGUCCGGAGAAACGGCAUUGCCCAUGGUGCAAACAUGCAUUCAUCAAGUGCUUUGAGGUAGAGAAAGAGAGCAAAAACAAGGGUAGAUUAUUCAAUACCUGUACUGCAAAAUGUGGAUAUUGGGAGUGGUGAAAGAUGGCGAGACUAACAGUGAAGCAAGUGUAAUCAGCGUAACUACGACGAAUCAUGUGAGGAGCAAAGGAGUUGAAGAAUUACCUUGCAUGUUUCAAUCUCAAUGUCGACUAUUUGAUCAACGCGAUGUGGAGAUGUCUCUUAACGUGACAAUACACAAAGGAAGAGCAAAUGCGGAUGGAGAGAAGAAAGGGAAGGGCCGUGAAUGAGUUGUAGUUCUGAAUUUAAUGACCUUAUUCAGUUUUGCAUUUCCGGCAUUAGUAGUUUCAUCACUAUUUAGUUUUUAAGUAAUGUUGUUUUGUAAUUGUGUCGUUGUAGGGGGUUACUCGAUGUGAAUUGUCUAGAUGGUAUUGUCGUUUGUAGUUAUGCGAUGUGGAUGGGAUGGAGUUGCCAUUCAAGGAAUGUGUAGUAUCAACUUGGACUUUGAUCACAUUCCAGCAUCUCACAAUGUUUAAGCAUUGUCUCUUCAUUAUGUAAUUUCUUUCCAUUUCAAUGAAGUGAUUGCAACAGAUUUUUAGUUGAAUGUUUAAGCAUUUUGUGGCUUGAAUUGUACUAGAGCAAAAAUUCA